rnacentral:misc_RNA from 1 species
AAAGGAUAGGACAUAAUUGCAAAAUCUCAAAAUGGUUCGGCUCUCUUUUACUUCUCAGCCUUCUGGAAUUGUCUCUAUACAUCAUCAAUUAAAAAUUUGACCAUGUUUGACGGUAAAAAAGAAAGAGGCAAGGUGCUAGUCAGCUUCUUUUAAUGUUUUGGCUUUGCAAUUGCUUAUUAAUAUGAUAUUAUAACUUUUAUGGGUGUAAAGCUUGCAAUAAGUAGAUCUCAAAUGAUUAUGUUUGAUGUAGGCUCCAGAUGAAGAAUUUGAAGA